UACGUAGGGGGCAAGCGUUAUCCGGAUUUACUGGGUGUAAAGGGAGCGUAGACGGCUAAAUAAGUCAGAUGUGAAAGCCCAGGGCUCAACCCUGGGACUGCAUUUGAAACUAUAUAGCUAGAGUGCAGGAGAGGUAAGUGGAAUUCCUAGUGUAGCGGUGAAAUGCGUAGAUAUUAGGAGGAACACCAGUGGCGAAGGCGGCUUACUGGACUGUAACUGACGUUGAGGCUCGAAAGCGUGGGGAGCAAAC
rnacentral:rRNA from 1 species